rnacentral:tRNA from 1 species
GGGGUUAUAGCUCAGCUGGGAGAGCGCUUGCAUGGCAUGCAAGAGGUCGCCGGUUCGAUCCCGGCUAGCUCCA